rnacentral:rRNA from 1 species
GACGAACGCUGGCGGCGUGCUUAACACAUGCAAGUCGAACGGAAAGGCCCUGCUUGCAGGGUACUCGAGUGGCGAAAGGGUGAGUAACACGUGUGUGAUAUGCGCUGCACUUCGGGAUAAGACUGGGAAAAUGGGUGUCAUAUCGGAUAGGAGCGCUCUUUCGUGUGAUGGGUGGUAAGUAUGUUGGGUGUAGUAGGAGAUUGCGGGCUAUUAGCUUGUUGGUGGGGUAAUGGCCUACCAAGGCAGCGGCGGGUAGCCGGCCGGAGGGGGGGGACGGCCAAAUUGGGACUGGGGUACGGCCCAGACUCCUACCGGGGGCAACAGGGGGGAAUAUUUCACAAUGGGGGCAAGCCUGAUGGAGCGACGCCGCGGGGGGGAUGACGGCCUUCGGGGUGUAAACCCGUUUCGCUAGGGACGAAGGUGUGUGUGACGGUACCGAGAGAAGAAGCACCGGCUAACUACGUG